rnacentral:ncRNA from 1 species
GAAAGCCGCAUUCGAUGAAAGUCGUAUGUACGGCUUGGAGGGAAAUAUUUCAUAUCUUUCCGAGAUCCACCCUUCAAUAUGGAUUGAAAAAGCCAAAAUAAGAUCUAACAAAAUAAAAUAUAGAGUUAAUAGCACAGAUGGGUCAUGUGGUUUAUAGCUAGUUUCACCUUUGU